AAUAACAGAAUAAUAUUAGAAACUCAAAACGAACGUCUUCCCUUUUCCUUCUCGUUUCUCCAAAAUCACUUCAAAUUCAUCUGUUGCUUCAUCAGCCAUCGUCUCGUCGCCGGCGGUUCGGAUGCUCCGAUUCUUUAUGCCAAAUCGGUACAACCUGGGGAAGCGUAUAGAUAUAAUAUAUACAUAGAGGGAGAGAGAGAUAGGGAUUAGAGAGGGAGUGGGGUGGAGCGGCCAUGAUAACUCGAUCGAAUUUGGCGGAACAGCUGAGGGAAUAUCAGAUUCGAUCGAAACAUGAUUGGGCUUCCGUCUCUUUCUUCUCCUCUACCUCCAAUCUCACUACUUCCAGGGUGGAUGUCGUCAUCUUUGUAAUAUGGGAACUUGUCAUUUUUGCAUGCGUUGUUUUCACCUGUGUUUCACUCUAUUUAAGCCAUCUAAGGCUUGCUUUGAUCUUAAUAUGCUUUACAUUUCUGCUGUUUAUAUGCAUGAGAAUUACAAAGCAGAUUAGGCUUGCCCGGAAAAAGAAGCGAAGGAUGCUACUACCAUUAUCAAUGUAGAAUUCUAGGGAGGGAAUAUUCUUUAACAAUGUACCCCUACUAGGGUUAUGUAAAUGGUGAGAAAUCUUGGCCACUGCUUCUGCCAACCUUUUGUUUUUUUUUCCUGGUUUCUGUGUAUUUUGCUUGAGACAAGCUGAUGGAAGGACAUAUAGAUUAUAUGAUAUGACUCACUGAGAAAAUUGCUUGCAGAUCUUGAUUUAUACAUUCUAGACAUUUGUUUGGAUUGGGUUGCA